rnacentral:rRNA from 1 species
UGCCUCCGGGUAGAGACGCCACCCUUGUGUACCAGACCGCUGUUGCUUUGGCGGGCCCAGCCCGCCAGAGACCCCAAACCCUGAGCGUGUGUGUCGUCGGAGUACUAUUCAAUAGUUAAAACUUUCAACAACGGAUCUCUUGGUUCUGGCAUCGAUGAAGAACGCAGCGAAAUGCGAUAAGUAAUGUGAAUUGCAGAAUUCAGUGAAUCAUCGAAUCUUUGAACGCACAUUGCGCCCCCCGGUAUUCCGAGGGGCAUGCCUGUUCGAGCGUCAUUAUAGCCUAUCCAGCCCCGCUGGGUCCUGGGCUCGCCGUCUGGCGGGCCCCAAAGCUAGUGGCGGUGCCGCCCGGUGCUGGAGCGUAGUACAACCCCUCGCUACCGGCCCUGAGCGCGCGCCCGCCAGCGACCCCUUCUACGGUUGACCUCGGAUCAGGUAGGGAUACCCGCUGAACUUAAGCAUAUCAAAAGGCCGGGAGGAA